rnacentral:misc_RNA from 1 species
UUUCCGUAGGUGGACCUGCGGAAGGAUCAUUAAUGAGUUGUCAUGGGGUUCGAUGCUGGCAGCCAGUUUUUGGAUGCAUGUGCUUGCCCUAACAAUCAUCUUCUUCCAAACACCUGUGCACAUUUUUGAGGGAGUCUUGAGUUGGUUGCCGCUCUUGGGUGAUUUUCUCACAUUCCCUUAAAUCAUUAUACGCUAUUAACAAUGUUGAACGUGCUCUGUGCCGCAAGGCCAUUAAUAUAAUACAACUUUUAACAACGGAUCUCUUGGCUCUC